GAACGAACGCUGGCGGCAGGCUUAACACAUGCAAGUCGAGCGCCCCGCAAGGGGAGCGGCCGACGGGUGAGUAACGCGUGGGAACGUACCUUUUGGUUCGGAACAACUCCGGGAAACUGGAGCUAAUACCGGAUAAGCCCUAACGGGGAAAGAUUUAUCGCCGAAAGAUCGGCCCGCGUCUGAUUAGCUAGUUGGUGAGGUAACGGCUCACCAAGGCGACGAUCAGUAGCUGGUCUGAGAGGAUGAUCAGCCACACUGGGACUGAGACACGGCCCAGACUCCUACGGGAGGCAGCAGUGGGGAAUAUUGGACAAUGGGCGCAAGCCUGAUCCAGCCAUGCCGCGUGAGUGAUGAAGGCCUUAGGGUUGUAAAGCUCUUUUGUCCGGGAAGAUAAUGACUGUACCGGAAGAAUAAGCCCCGGCUAACUUCGUG
rnacentral:rRNA from 1 species